AUUGAACGCUGGCAGCGGGCUUAACACAUGCAAGUCGAGCGGAGAGAGGUAGCUUGCUACUGAUCUUAGCGGCGGACGGGUGAGUAAUGCUUAGGAAUCUGCCUAUUAGUGGGGGACAACAUUUCGAAAGGAAUGCUAAUACCGCAUACGUCCUACGGGAGAAAGCAGGGGAUCUUCGGACCUUGCGCUAAUAGAUGAGCCUAAGUCGGAUUAGCUAGGUGGUGGGGUAAAGGCCUACCAAGGCGACGAUCUGUAGCGGGUCUGAGAGGAUGAUCCGCCACACUGGGACUGAGACACGGCCCAGACUCCUACGGGAGGCAGCAGUGGGGAAUAUUGGACAAUGGGCGCAAGCCUGAUCCAGCCAUGCCGCGUGUGUGAAGAAGGCCUUAUGGUUGUAAAGCACUUUAAGCGAGGAGGAGGCUACUUUAGUUAAUACCUAGAGAUAGUGGACGUUACUCGCAGAAUAAGCACCGGCUAACUCUGUGCCAGCCGCCGCCGUAA
rnacentral:rRNA from 1 species